rnacentral:rRNA from 1 species
CGGACGGGUGAGGAACACGUACGCGACCUGCCCUCCGGUGGGGAAUAACCCUUCGAAAGAGGGGCUAAUGCCGCAUACGGUCCUCUGGGUAGAGCCAGAGGAGGAAAGCCCGCAAGGGUGCUGGAGGAGGGGCGUGCGGCCGAUUAGCUGGUUGGUGGGGUAACGGCCUACCAAGGCUGCGAUCAGUAACUGGUGUGAGAGCACGACCAGUCACACGGGCACUGAGACACGGGCCCG